rnacentral:lncRNA from 1 species
UUCGCCACCACAGGUAAGUUACCCGGUGCAGUUGGUCUCAUAGCUAAUACCCUCCAGGAUACAACAGUCACUUCUUGCUAGCACUGCACGUGAAUUAGCAAGGUCUCAUAGAACUACUUUUUGGAUGCUCAUGGGAACUUAGUUUAUAUAUAAUUCACUCAUCUUCAUUAUUCCACGUUCUACCUCUAGAGAACACAACCUUAUAUAUAAGCCAUACAUAGGAUCCCCUUUCAUAUGUUAACUUUGCACUAUUCUCUUCCUUCAAGCAAAAUUAUGAUUCCUAUUUAUUAGAAUUGAUGGAGUAAUAUUACAUGUAAAUAGUAACUUAAAACGUAACUCAAAAAAUUAUCAAUAGUAAUUAAUAACAAUAAUAAUAAACUUUAAAAAUAAAUUAU